UUAAAACAAAAAAGGAGAAACCAACAACACAAAAAAGGAGAAACCCUUGACAAAAAAAAAUGACACAAUGACGCCGACUGCUUCGUCACUCCCUCCGUCCAGUCUUUCUAUUUGUUUGCUCGACCAAAAGCUCCGAUGAAGAAACCAUGGACUCAAAUUUCUGGAAGUCCAAAUAUUUUUAUCAAAAAAAUAUGGAACCGGACCCUAAAAAAUGGGUAAUAGUCCAACAGGUGCUUAGUACGUUUUUGUCAACAUAAUUAUUGUGAGAUUCCGAUUAAAUUAUGCUUCCCUGUUCCUUAAAAACUGUCUGUUGAUUAAAUAGAUGAUUUGAGAUGGUGCACCAUUGUUUUUCAAGUCGAGGAUUUAGGAUCUACUGUUUUACUUAAGGUUAGAGGAGAAAGAAGAAACAAGUAGGGCUGAUUUGGCGUUUUAUCAAUUGAAGCAUUAGGAAUUGUUUAUGUUUGUCGCAUCUAUGCAGAUUCAUUGUUGUGGGAAUCUUUCCUAAAGGAUAGCCUGACUUGAAUUUCAUGGAUCGGCCAUUCAGUUUGAAGAGUCCUGUAAAGCUAGCUCUAUCGCCUGACAACGACUCUUGUGGUUUGGUCUUUCAUCGGAAAGCGGUCUCAUCAUUCAAAUGAAAGUAAACUACGUACCUGCUUGUACUCUUGAAACCUAUGAUGAUCCAUCUUUUUAUUGCAUUAUUAGAGGUGGUAUUCUUUUGUUGUGUGGUACUUAUAGCUGGUUACAAAUUUGCAGCUAGUUAUCAGAAGAUAAAGUGAAAUUCAAAUGUUGUCAUGUGGAGUGAAGCUUCCUAUUUUAAUGUUUGAUUGCUUUGUGCACUGAUCUGUACUUACCGGUGUAAAAUUUGUUUAGUCAACUGAUGCUGUAAUGUCUCUUUCAUCUACUCUUUUGGUUUAUUUGUGCUGAUAUAUACCAAAAUUUUUUAUGCUACUGUAUACUUCUAAUUAUUCUUGGGAGCACAAGUUUA